rnacentral:rRNA from 1 species
CAGGGAUUGCCCCAGUAACGGCGAGUGAAGCGGCAAGAGCUCAAAUUUGAAAGCUGGCUCCUUCGGGGUCCGCAUUGUAAUUUGCAGAGGAUGUUUCGGGAGCGGCUCCCAUCUAAGUGUCCUGGAACGGACCGUCAUAGAGGGUGAGAAUCCCGUAUGGGAUGGGGUGUCCGCGCCCGUGUGAAACUCCUUCGACGAGUCGAGUUGUUUGGGAAUGCAGCUCUAAAUGGGUGGUAAAUUUCAUCUAAAGCUAAAUAUUGGCCGGAGACCGAUAGCGCACAAGUAGAGUGAUCGAAAGAUGAAAAGCACUUUGAAAAGAGAGUUAAAAAGCACGUGAAAUUGUUGAAAGGGAAGCGUUUGCGAUCAGACUCGCCUUCGGGGUUCAGCCUGCCUUCGGGCAGGUGUACUUCCCCGUCGGCGGGCCAGCGUCGGUUUGGGUGGCCGGUCAAAGGCCCUGGGAAUGUAACGCCUCUCGGGGCGUCUUAUAGCCCAGGGUGUCAUGCGGCCUACCCGGACCGAGGAACGCGCUUCGGCUCGGACGCUGGCAUAAUGGUCGUAAACGACCCGUCUUGAAACACGGACCAAGGAGUCUAACAUCUAUGCGAGUGUUCGGGUGUCAAACCCGUGCGCGAAGUGAAAGCGAACGGAGGUGGGAACCCUUUGGGUGCACCAUCGACCGAUCCUGAUGUCUUCGGAUGGAUUUGAGUAAGAGCAUAGCUGUUGGGACCCGAAAGAUGGUGAACUAUGCCUGAAUAGGGCGAAGCCAGAGGAAACUCUGGUGGAGGCUCGCAGCGGUUCUGACGUGCAAAUCGAUCGUCAAAUUUGGGUAUAGGGGCGAAAGACUAAUCGAACC